GGAAAGUUGGUAGAGUGGCUGAUUACACCUGUCUUGAAAACAGGAAGUCCGAAAGGGCUCGGGGGUUCGAAUCCCUCACUUUCCU
rnacentral:tRNA from 1 species